AUUGAACGCUGGCGGCAUGCCUUACACAUGCAAGUCGAACGGCAGCGCGGACUUCGGUCUGGCGGCGAGUGGCGAACGGGUGAGUAAUAUAUCGGAACGUGCCCUGGAGUGGGGGAUAACCAGUCGAAAGACUGGCUAAUACCGCAUACGAUCUACGGAUGAAAGUGGGGGAUCGCAAGACCUCAUGCUCGUGGAGCGGCCGAUAUCUGAUUAGCUAGUUGGUGGGGUAAGAGCCCACCAAGGCAACGAUCAGUAGCUGGUCUGAGAGGACGACCAGCCACACUGGGACUGAGACACGGCCCAGACUCCUACGGGAGGCAGCAGUGGGGAAUUUUGGACAAUGGGGGCAACCCUGAUCCAGCAAUGCCGCGUGUGUGAAGAAGGCCUUCGGGUUGUAAAGCACUUUUGUCCGGAACGAAACGGUGAAGGUUAAUACCCUUUGCUACUGACGGUACUGGAAGAAUAAGCACCGGCUAACUACGUGCCGGCAGCCGCCGCAG
rnacentral:rRNA from 1 species